rnacentral:lncRNA from 1 species
UGGUCCUUAUCCAGUGGAAAUAGCGACAGUUACAUCUGCUUCUUGUAUACAUGCUGAAUGCUGGUCCUUCCUGUCUGUGAAUACUGCUUCCUCCUCAUAGCCAUCCCACACCAGGUUUCACCACCUGAAGGGUGCGGGGUCAGGGACUAUGUGUUCCAGCUGGACAACUUCUACUUGUGGACACCUGCGAUCUCGCACCUUCUUCUCAGGUACUGGAAGUCACUGUCCCACAGAAAAUAACAGUUAAAAAAGAAAUGAAUGAGACAUUUAAGAAUGAGACAUUAUAAAUGAGGAACGAAGUGUAAGGGAUAAGGUGAGUAUUCCAAAUGCUUGCAAAAAAAUCUCUAUGUGAUAUUGCCAUCAAUACAUCAAACUCAACAUAGUUUGAAUUUCUUUAACUUACUUUACCUCCUCUGUUCUUCACUUUCAUUAUAGUGCUACCUUUCCCUUGGUCACCCGUACUCCAAACCUUGGGCCAUCUUUGGCCACUCUGUCACUCAAUUGCUAUGUCGUAUCUGUUAUGUAUCUGGAAUUCAGUUGUACAUCUGUUUCUCUUUUCCUUCCCUCCUGCCCCUCUUCUAGUUCAUCACCACUUGUCAGGAUUUUUCAAUUACUUCCUAACAUCUCCCUCCCUUAAGAGUCCACUUUAGACCAACCUGAGUUUAAACCCUGGCUCUGCCAUUUAACACUUUUUUUUUUUUAAGGUUUAUUUAUUUAUUUGAGAGAGACAAAGAGAGAGCAUGUGCAUGAGAGAGGCACAAUGGAGAGGGGCAGAGGAAGAGGGAGAGAAGAGAAUCUCAAGCCGACUUGGUGCAGAGCCCGGAUGUGGGGCUCCAUCUCAUGGCCCUGAAAUCAUGACCUAAGCUGAAACCAAGAGUUGGACGCUCAACUGACUGUACCACCAAGGCACCACUGCCACUUAACACUUCGAUCUUGAACAUCAUAUACUUAACCUCUUUGCACCUCAGGCAUUCUCUGUAAAAUUAAUAAUAAUAUUCGACUCACAGGGUGAUUGUGGAGAUUGGAAAACUAGGACCCAGGCACUAAGUCUUAAAUGCAUUAUCUGUUACUUUUAUUGAAUGAGACAAUGUGUAUAAAGGGCUUGGCAUGGUGCGGGGCGCAUAGUAAGUACUCAGUCACUACUGGCUGCUCUGUAUGAUUAUUCUUCAUAAAAUUAAUUUUCCUAAUGAACAGUUUUGAUUACAUUCACCUUGCUCAGAAUCUUUCUUUGACUCCCUCCUGCCUGUUGAAAUAAGCCCAAACUCCUGUGCCAAACAUUCAAGGCUCUUGAUCUGUUCCUUCCUACCUUUCAAAUGUUCCCUUCUGAAUUUCAGUACUCACUGGACCCCAUGCUUGGUUUCCCCUCUCUUUAGCUUUGUUCAAGCUGUUCUCUCUCCCUGGAAUGUCCUUCCUCCUCCUAUCUUGCUCAGUAAAUAUUUGCUGAGUAAAUAGAUAGCGUCCUUUGGAAAAGCUCCCCCAGAGAAGACAGUUCUAAUCCGUGCUGUAUGCCCCUCCUGUGGUAGAGACACACAGGGCAGGCUAUGUUUAUUUUCAGCAGGACUCUGUGGGAGAGACAUAUAUACAAACAAAGAGGUUUUAAACAAGUCAACCCUGUUCUGUGUCUCCUAAACCCCUCCUGAAUACUGAUGACACAUAAAAGUAAUGCCAAGAGGUGGUAUAUUGCUCGCUCUUGCUCAGCUAACCUCUCCAUUUGGGGCAUAUUUAUUGAAUACCUGCGAGGUGCAACUUAUUGGAGAUGGUGGCGGGGGUGGGGUGGGGAAGUCAGAACACAGUUAAGACCAUCUGGUUGACAGAGAGAAGGCUGGCACAACAAUGGCCAACAGGGCCUAGGAAUUCAGAAUCAGGUUCUACACUCUGUGAUGCCCAAGAGAACUCUCUACAGGAUGAGCCUGUGCACUAGAGAAGGGGUUACAGAGGCUACGGCCAGAGGAAGCUUUGUGACAGCUGCGCCUAGGGAGAGUCUUCACGACCCCUGUGCUUGGAGAAUGUACGGUAUGCUAAGGCAAACAUCUGGUGUGUGCUGGGGAAAUGCAAACCAAUGACAUUUUCUAUUAGGUGAAGAGCCAGGCCCAGGGCAGUUUCCAAAAAGGUGGCUGUCCUCAAACCACGUGACUUGCUGCUGCUGGAGGGAUAGGUGCAAGGGGAGUUUUUUUCCCCCCAAAGUCCACUUCCCCACACCCAGUGCAGUCCAUGUGGUCCAGGCGAACUCAGUUGUUUAAAUACUAAGACAUCAUUAAUGAUAAGCAUGAGUUCAUGAAAAAAAUGAGUGUAUCUGUUCUUGUAAUUUUACAUAAAUUAACUCAAUAUCCAGGUUCUUGACAGGUUUCUUACCUAGGUUUUACUCCCAGAAUAUUCUUACCUCCUGGGUUACUCAGGAUAGGGUAGGAGCUCAAACCUAAAGCAAAGCUUUCUUUUUUUUUUUUUUAAGAUUUUAUUUAUUUAUUCAUAGACACACAGAGAGAGAGGCAGAGACACAGGCAGAGGGAGAAGCAGGCUCUACGCAGGGAGCAGGAUGCGGACCGGAUCCCGGGUCUCCAGGAUCACACCCCAGGCUACAGGCGGCGCCAAACCGCUGCACCACUGGGGCUGCCCUAAAGCAAAGCUUUCAAGAUGGAUUUGCAUUGAACUCGGCUUAAUCACCUACUACCUCUGUGAUCUUGAACCUUAGAGAAGCCUUUGUGACUUCUCAUUUGACAAGAGGGGUGAUACCAGUGAUACCACCAGUGUUAAGGGGUUUAUUGUGAGGAUUUAAGGAAAGGAUGUGUGUGGAAUGCCUGACAGAGUCAGUGCUCGGUAUCUGCUGGGUAUGAUCACCACAGCAAUUAUCGGAGGUCUCCCCACUAUCUGUCCCACCCCCAAACUCUCCUCCAAAGCUACCUAAACUAUAUAUGUAACAGCUUCCUCCAUGCUUCCCUCACAACUCUAAAUAACCAUAGUAGUAAAUAAUAAAUAAUAACAGCAGCAGCAACAUGGCUAUUAGAGAGGGCCUAAGACACACCAUGCCCUGGGUCUGGGGGGGGGGGGGGUACUUGGCAAAUCUCAUCUCCAAUCCUUUUAUAUCUACUCUACAGUGCAAGACACCGAAGCUCAGAAAAGGGAAGUGACUUCUUCAAAGAAAGUGGCAGAGUUGGAAUCAGAACUCAGCUGUGUUCUCUGUCCAAAGCCUAUGCUCUUUCUGCAUUUUUCUCUUCCAGAAAAAUAAUCUCCUUUCUAGAAAUGAAGAUCAGAGACACCAGCUAACCCUUAGUAACAUUCAGAACUUUUCUAACAGUCUUCCUACAGACCAUGUGUUCAUUCACUCACUCCUUCACUCCGCAAAUGUUUAUUCAAUGUUUACUAGGUGCUAGGGAUAUAAAAUUGAUUAAGAUAGUUCAUGUGUCUAAAGAGUUCACACUGUCAUGGAAAAGAGGGAUGCAUAAAUGGAUAAAUGGGGAAGCCAGCAGUUAAAUAAAAGAGCAUGGUGGGCCGCCAGUCUAGGUAGGGUUGAAGGGAGCAGUGAUGGUGUCAGGAAAAGCAUCACAGGAGGUGAUCUGAGUUGAUUCAUUAUUCUGCUCUUUAUUUCAUUCAUCCCAGAAACACAUUUUAAGUGACAACUAUGUUUCAGGCUUUAGGCUAAAUCCUGGCAUUAAGUAUAGCCAGGGCUUGGUUCAGUCUACGCCCCUAAGAAAUUUAUGUCUAGCCAGGAGGGAUGGAUCGUAAAUCAAUCAAUGUCACUAAAAUUGCAUUGAGGGGCACAGGGUCAUGGUUAAUGCUCUAGGCCAAGGGUGGCCUCAGAGGCCUAGUUUCUUUUAAAAGAACUGUUUUUUCCCCCUUUUUCCUGUCUUAUUGGUGUUUAGGCACUUUAAACACCUUUGAGGAUAUCCCACAGAUACGCCAACUAAAAAUAGCAUAUCCAAAACUAAAUUUAUAUUGUACGAUAUUCUCCAGGGAAGGAAGCCAUAAUUCAAAGUUCCAUCUCCUUCAUUUCUCCAAGAUGUUGUUAGUUAUAGAGAUAUCACCCCAUCUUGACGUAUUGUAGUUCAAAUCUUUACACAAAAUGCAGUAUUAUGUUAAAAAAUAACACAAUAAGAAAAUAACUGCCCACAAUUGCCCUCUCUGGAGUGAACCACAGUACCGGACAAAGUGGAGCUCUGUUAACUGCGUGACUCUCCUCUCGUAAAUCAUCCCUUCCAUUGAGUGAGUCUCAGACCCAGUAAGUGAAAGCAGGUUCAACAAAAAGUCUUCAAAAGUGUGGAAACUUAAUAUAUGAUAAAGGUGUCCUUGCUCAACUGUGUGGUCAUUUGGAACAAAAAUAAAGUUGGAUCCAGACUAUAUGCCUUUAUACCAAAAAACAAAACAAAACAAAACAAGACGAAUACAGGAUAUUUAAACUUUGAAAAAUGAAAUCUAGAAGCGCCAGAAGGAAACAUAGGAAGGUAUUUUUCCUCUUCAUAAUCUCAGAGUAGGAAAUGGUUAAAGCCAUAAGAGAAAGUAUUGAUAAAUUCAGUCACAUAAAAAUAAAAUUUUUCUGCAUAGCAAAAAAAUCACCAUAAGUAGUCAAAAUCAAAUAACAAACUGGGCAGAGGGGAGUAUGUGAAAUUUAGAAUAUAGCAAAAAUAAUAUAUAACAUCAUUGAUAUGUAAUAUAUAUAAUAUAUAUAAUAAAAUAUGUCCUUAUCCUAUAGAUAUAUAUUAUAUAUCCUAUAUAUAUAUA